rnacentral:sRNA from 1 species
CGCCCAACCUCGCUCCGUGAUCAGUGGGCAGACACGAGCAAUUCAGGAGCGAGGACGGGGGACCCACCAUCUCCCAGGAGACCGGAUCUCGCACAGAGAUCCUCGGGGUGUAGCCCUGCACCGCAGGGCCGAGCAGCCUCUCGCUCGAACCCGACAGCUGACUUCGUAGGCGCGUGGAGAGAGGGAA